UAUGCACGGACUUCGGCCUGGUGGUUAGUGGCGAACGGGUGAGUAAUAUAUCGGAACGUGCCCAGAUCGCUGGGGGAUAACGUAGUGAAAAUUUAACGCUAAUACCUGCAUACGAUCUACGGAUGAAAGCGGGGGAUCGCACAGACCUCGGCGCGAUUGGAGGCGGCCGAUAUCAGAUUAGUAGUUGGUGAGGUAAAGGCUCACCAAGCCAACGAUCUGUAGCUGGUCUGAGACGACGACCAGCCACACUGGAACUGAGACACGGUCCAGACUCCUACGGGAGGCAGCAGUGGGGAAUUUUGGACAAUGGACGCAAGUCUGAUCCAGCCAUUCCGCGUGCAGGACGAAGGCCUUCGGGUUGUAAACUGCUUUUGUACAGAACGAAAAGGUUUCUAUUAAUACUAGGAGCUCAUGACGGUACUGUAAGAAUAAGCACCGGCUAACUACGUGCCAGCAGCCGCGGUAAUACGUAGGUGCAAGCGUUAAUCGGAAUUACUUGGGCGUAAAGCGUGCGCAGGCGGUUAUUGUACAGACACGAGGUGAAAUCCCCGGGGCUCAAACUGGGAACUGCCUUUGUUGACUGCAUAGCUGGAGUACGGCAGAGGGGGAUGGAAUUCCGGUGUAGCCAGUGAAAUGCGUAGAAUAUUGCGGAGGAACAACACGAUUGGCCGAAAGGCAAUCCCCUGGCUGUACUGACGCAUCAUUGGCACGAAAGCGUGGGGAGCACACAGGAUCGAUCCCCUGGUUAUUCAACCCCUAAAACUCAACGGUGUUGGGAUUUCACACAGAGCAACAACCUACGUAAAUUACGCCUGGAGAUACGGCGCAAGGUGU
rnacentral:rRNA from 1 species